GAUAAACGCUGGCGGCGUGCUUCAGGCAUGCAAGUCGAACGGUUCACAGGACUUCGGUUCUGUGGAUAGUGGCGGACGGGUGAGUAACACGUAAGCAACCUGCCCGGAAGUGGGGAAUAACCCACCGAAAGGUGAGCUAAUUCCGCAUGUGAUGGCUUUUCCCUGGAGAGGUCAUUAAAGGCGAAAGUCGCUUCUGGAGGGGCUUGCGGCCGAUUAGCUAGUUGGUGGGGUAACGGCCUACCAAGGCGACGAUCGGUAGCUGGUCUGAGAGGACGGACAGCCACACGGGGACUGAGAUACGGCCCCGACUCCUACGGGUGGCAG
rnacentral:rRNA from 1 species